UGGGACAAGCAUUCGCUCCCUUGGCCC
rnacentral:piRNA from 1 species